CCCUUAGACGCUCUAGGCGGCACGCGCGCUACAAUGGGUGGUAGAACGUGUAACUGCUCCCGAAAGGGAGGGUGAACCACGAAUACUUACCCGUGAAUGGGAUAGUUUGUUGCAAUUUUCGGACUUGAACUAGGAAUCCCUUGUAAGAAUGCUCAAGAAUAGCGUGCUGAAUACGUCCCUGCCGUUUGUACACACCGCCCGUCGUUUCUUCCGACUGAUACUCAUUGUGAGUUGCAAGGAUUCUUAUUGAAAAAUUGCUGCGAAUGCUUUGUAUUGGAGGAAGAAAAAGGCGUAACA
rnacentral:rRNA from 1 species